rnacentral:rRNA from 1 species
GAUGAACGCUGGCGGCGUGCCUAAUACAUGCAAGUCGAACGCGAGCACUUGUGCUCGAGUGGCGAACGGGUGAGUAAUACAUAAGUAACCUGCCCUAGACAGGGGGAUAACGAUUGGAAACGAUAGCUAAGACCGCAUAGGUACGGACACUGCAUGGUGACCGUAUUAAAAGUGCCUCAAAGCACUGGUAGAGGAUGGACUUAUGGCGCAUUAGCUGGUUGGUGAGGUAACGGCUCACCAAGGCGACGAUGCGUAGCCGACCUGAGAGGGUGACCGGCCACACUGGGACUGAGACACGGCCCAG